rnacentral:rRNA from 1 species
UCGUGCCGUGAGGUGUUAGGUUAAGUCCUGCAACGAGCGCAACCCUCGUCGCUAGUUGUUUUCUCUAGCGAUACUGCCCGUAUAACGUGGAGGAAGGUGGGGAUGACGUCAAGUCAGCAUGGCCCUUACAUCCUGGGCUACACACACGCUACAAUGGGUGAUACAACAGGUUGCAAUAGAGUAAUCUGGAGCCAAUCCCUAAAAUCAUCCUCAGUACGGAUUGCAGGCUGCAACUGCCUGCAUGAAGUUGGAGUUGCUAGUAAACGCAGGUCAGCACACUGCGUUGAAUACGUUCUCGGGCCUU